AGAGUUUGAUCCUGGCUCAGAACGAACGCUGGCAGCGUGGAUUAGGCAUGCAAGUCGAACGGGAUCAGGCGUGGUAGCAAUACUAUGUUUGUGAGAGUGGCGGAAGGGCGAGGAAGGCAUGGACAACCUGUCUUCAGGGUGGGGAUAACCCCGCGAAAGCGGGGCUAAUACCGAAUGUGGCGUAUGGGGCGCAUGCUCUAUGCGUUAAAGGUGGGGAUCGCAAGACCUGCCCCCUGAUGAGGGGUCCGUGUGCCAUCAGCUUGUUGGUGGGGUAACGGCCUACCAAGGCAUACGGCUAGCUGGUCUGAGAGGAUGAUCAGCCGCACUGGGACUGAGACACUGCCCAGACUCCUACGGGGGGCCGCAGUCGAGGAUCAUUCGCAAUGGGGGGAACCCUGACGAUGCGACGCUGCGUGGAGGAUGACGGCCUUCGGGUUGUAAACUCCUGUCAUGGGGGAAGAGCUAUGGGGGGUUAAUAGCCUCUCUGAUGGACGGUACCCCAAGAGGAAGCCACGGCUGACUCUGUGCCAGCAGCCGCGGUAAUACAGAGGUGGCGAGCGUUGUUCGGAUUUACUGGGCGUAAAGGGCGCGUAGGCGGCGCAGUGUGUCAGGUGUGAAAUCCAUGGGCUCAACCCAUGAAGUGCGCCUGAAACUGCUGUGCUUGAGUGCGGGAGGGGAGACUGGAAUACAGGGUGUAGCGGUGAAAUGCGUUGAUAUCCUGUAGAACACCGGUGGCGAAGGCGGGUCUCUGGAACGCAACUGACGCUGAGGCGCGAAAGCGGGGGGAGCAAACAGGAUUAGAUACCCUGGUAGUCCCCGCCCUAAACGUUGCACACUUGAGGUAGGGGGAUUUCACCCCCUCUGUCUCGGAGCUAACGCGUUAAGUGUGCCGCCUGGGGAGUACGGCCGCAAGGCUAAAACUCAAAGAAAUUGACGGGGACCCGCACAAGCAGAGGAGCAUGUGGCUUAAUUCGAUGCAACGCGAAGAACCUUACCCGGGUUUGACAUGUAACUGCUACUCCCAUGAAAGUGGGAUUCCUUCGAGGGUGUUACACAGGUGCUGCAUGGCUGUCGUCAGUUCGUGCCGUGAGGUGUUUGGUUAAGUCCAGCAACGAACGCAACCCCUGUGUCCAGUUGCCAUCAGGUAGUGCUGGGAACUCUGGACAGACUGCCCGUUUACGCGGGAGGAAGGUGGGGACGACGUCAAGUCAGUAUGGCCCUUACAUCCGGGGCUGCACACGUGCUACAAUGGCCGGUACAAUGGGAAGCUUGGCUGCGAGGCCUGGCCAACCCCCAAAACCGGCCCCAGUUCAGAUCGGGGCCUGCAACCCGACCCCGUGAAGUCGGAUUUGCUAGUAACGGCGCAUCAGCUACGGCGCCGUGAAUACGUUCCUCGGGUCUUGCACACACCGCCCGUCA
rnacentral:rRNA from 1 species